AGCCAUGCCGCGUGUAUGAAGAAGGUCCUUCGGGUUGUAAAGUACUUUCAGCAGUGAGGAAGGUGGGUAUGUUAAUAGCAUACUCAUUUGACGUUAGCUGCAGAAGAAGCACCGGCUAACUCCGUGCCAGCAGCCGCGGUAAUACGGAGGGUGCGAGCGUUAAUCGGAAUUACUGGGCGUAAAGCGCAUGCAGGUGGUUUGUUAAGUCAGAUGUGAAAGCCCGGGGCUCAACCUCGGAAUUGCAUUUGAAACUGGCAAACUAGAGUACUGUAGAGGGGGUAGAAUUUCAGGUGUAGCGGUGAAAUGCGUAGAGAUCUGAAGGAAUACCGGUGGCGAAGGCGGCCCCCUGGACAGAUACUGACACUCAGAUGCGAAAGCGUGGGGAGCAAACAGGAUUAGAUACCCUGGCAA
rnacentral:rRNA from 1 species